rnacentral:rRNA from 1 species
UACGAAGGGGGCUAGCGUUGUUCGGAUUUACUGGGCGUAAAGCGCGUGUAGGCGGGUCGUUAAGUUGGGGGUGAAAUCCCGAGGCUCAACCUCGGAACUGCCUUCAAAACUGGCGACCUGGACUCAAGUAGAGGCAAGUGGAAUUGCGAGUGUAGAGGUGAAAUUCGUAGAUAUUCGCAGGAACACCAGUGGCGAAGGCGACUUGCUGGACUUGUAGUGACGCUGAGACGCGAAAGCGUGGGGAGCAAACAGGAUUAGAAACCCGUGUAGU